ACCGCGUACAUAGCCUGAAAUGGGCCCUCUCCCUCCCUCUGUCAUUCUGAGAGCAUCUACACAGGACGCCAGGUCUGAGAUCUGGUCCGGCUCCCCAGCAGCUGACACUCCCCUCCGUCCUUCCGCGGGUUCCCCGUUCUCCCGGAUCUGCGAGAUCCUCUGCCGGGUCUUGGGAACAACCCACCUCCUCCACCCAACAGUCCUCCAGAGCUCGGCGUCCCAGGCUAGGACAGUGGCUGGACCGAGCCCAGGAUAGGGGCAGACACCGCUACCAAGUGAGUAUCUGGAGCGGGCAUCCGAGCGCGGGACCCGCAGGGACAGGGCACGCGCAGGCAGAGAGGGCCAGGAACUUGGCUGGAGUCUGACACCCGGCGGGUGAGAGGAGCGGGGGCGCGGGAGAUCAAAGAUUUGGACCUAGAAAGGACGCCCAGAGCCUGAGCCCAGAAGGACCGAAAGCUGGGUGCGGACUCCCACCUUCAGAUGAGGACACUGAGGCACAGCCCAUAACCUUGGAAGUGCAAUUAGAUCUCGGGGAGUCGGUGUCAGAAGCUGUAUGUUUAAUCCCUGUGCUUCAGUAAAGAGAAGAAAUAAGAUGGGAACUCGGGUGAGAGGAGAAUCAACUCAUUGCCCCAGGGAGAAAGUAGCUAGGACAAUACGGAAGGCAGUGAUACGUAAGCUGGAUCUUGCAGAAUUUUUUUUUCCUUCGAAUCCUUUCCUUUCUUUACCAAACAGCACAGUCCACCCUAUUUUAUACAAAUGUUUGAAAAGCAGCUGUGUUUUCCCACCGGUUGUCAUUAUAAUUCUACGGGAUGACCCUGUAAAGCACGCCUUUGCUCUACCGAAUUCCACUUGGGAGCAGAAGGAGGCUGAAACAGUGUGAAUCUUCCAACCUCAAUCAACCCGGGUCCCCAGCUUCCUCUUGAAGGCAGCCCCUGAGAAGGGCUCUCAUGGUAAUUGUGUGCAGGUCACAGCGAAAGAAGAGUGCUGUUAGAAUACAGAAAGCCGACCAAACACGGGAGUGACUGAGCCACAUGUGAGGUAAUAUUCACAUGAAUGUAAUCCUUGGUACUUGGGCUUGUUGCUCUCAAUAUCUUAUUUGUGUUGGCUUCCUUGCACUGUGCUUGCUGUUUUUUUUUUUUUUUUUUUUUUUUUUUUCCUUUUUUAAGUCAAUAUCACUAUGUAGUCUAGGCUGGCCUUGAACUCACGACCCUCCUGCCUCAGCUUCUGAAGUAGCUGGGAUUACAGACACGCAUCACCAUACCUGAGACUCUUUCUCUCAUUUCUCAGUACUGGGGAUUGAACCUAGGACGCUAAGAAAAUGCUCCACCACUGACCUACACCUCCACCACUUUUUUUUUUUUUUUUUUUUGAGACAGUGUUUCGGUAUUCUUGGCCUUCAAUGUACUAUGUAGUCCAGGCUGGGUUUGAACUCCCGGUAAUCCUCCUGCCUCAGUCUCCCAAGUGCUGGGAUUACAGGUGUGUGCCACCAUUCCAAGCUUCCCCAACAGUUUUAAAAUUUCAUUUGGGGAAAGGAUCUCACUAAAUUGUCCAGGCUUGAACUUAUGAUCCUCCUGUUCAGCCUCCCAAGUUGCUGAGGUAAUAGACAUGCCUGUUUCAUCCUGUGCUUUUUCACAACUUUCUC
rnacentral:lncRNA from 1 species